rnacentral:rRNA from 1 species
AACAAGUACCGUGAGGGAAAGAUGCAAAGAACUUUGAAAAGAGAGUUAAAAAGUACCUGAACUUGUUGGGGGGAAAGCGUUUGCCUCCAGUGUGCCGCGUAUGACUCAGCCUCCUUGGAGGUGCACUUUGUGCGCGGCGGUCAGGGUGGGUUUGCUUGGGCGUUGACGGUCCCCUUGAGGUCUUCGGGCAACGGGGUGGCUUUUGCGUCCGCGCGGACCGAGGCUCGCUCGCAUCGCGCGUCGGUGGAUCGUGUGUGCGUCUGACAAGCAACUUGUCUUCGUACAGCGUGAAUCCCUAGUGCGUGGUUAGCGUGACCCUGACGAAAUGGUGGCAACCGACCCGUCUAGUAACACGGACCAAGGAGUCUGACGACUGCGCGAGUCUUCGGGUGGCAACCCCGUGGGCGUAAUGAAAGUGACUUGGCCUUCAGGGCCGACCGACCGUGAUCUUUUGUGAAUGGUUUGAGUACGAGCGUAGUUGCCGGGACCCGAAAGAUGGUGAACUAU